UACGUAUGGGCAAAACGAUGUACUAUGUAUGUAUGUACGUACAAAUGUUGGGUCGCAGGAAGGAACAUGGAGCAACGAAUUAUAGGGUGAAAUGUUUAAUUAGCGCACAAGCUAAAUUAACAAUUCAUUUUUAUAGAAACGCUCAUCCACUUUUUGGUUUAUUUGAAACUUCUGGGGUUUUAAAAUAAGAUAAGUAUCAUUUGUAAUGCCUACGCAAAAGUAAACUGGCAGAUUAUAUCAAUGAGCUUUUUAUACCCACAUUGACUAUAAACAAAUGUCUUUAUAUAUGUAUAUGUAUAUAUAAAUACAAUACAAUUGUAAAAUGUAUCAACACAUAUGUACAUUCAAUCAUAAAGGCACAUUUUGAAUUUUCUAAUAUUUAGAAUUUCCGUUAACUUUGUUCUAUUGGCUUAUUGGACCCAGUUGGACCCAUUCAUGUUUAUUAAGAGCAGCUGUCGGCAGGCCCCUAUCUUAUGUGCAUAGGAAGGUGUGCUGGCGCUAACGUACAGAUGCAUAACACUGGUUUGAAUCAAUACAUUUAUCCGUUUUGCCGACCGUCUACGCACACAAACGCACUAAAAGCAUGUGGAAGUAUGCUUGCCGACCCCUGACUUAGAGUUGCAAGUGCGCCCAACGAAUGAUGAAAAGAUGCUGCAUGCCUGAAAAGCCGCGCGGGAGAGCCACAUACCACGAAAGAUGACGGCCGACACAGCCUAGCGGUCAAAUCCCCUUAAGCAAUCUCACAACUACAAUGCUUUUGAUAUAUGUUUACAUGAACAUGUAAGCAUAAAUGUAAAAAUACGUGUGCACGACAAUGGACAAAAGAUACACAUAA